AGUGGCAGACGGGUGAGUAACACGUGGGAACCUUCCUUAUAGUAUGGAAUAACAGUUGGAAACGACUGCUAAUACCAUAUACGCCCUUCGGGGGAAAGAUUUAUCGCUAUAAGAUGGGCCCGCGGCAGAUUAGCUAGUUGGUAGGGUAAUGGCCUACCAAGGCAACGAUCUGUAGCUGGUUUGAGAGAAUGAUCAGCCACACUGGAACUGAGACACGGUCCAGACUCCUACGGGAGGCAGCAGUGGGGAAUAUUGGACAAUGGGCGCAAGCCUGAUCCAGCAAUGCCGCGUGAGUGAAGAAGGCCUUAGGGUUGUAAAGCUCUUUCAGCAGGGAAGAGAGUGACGGUACCUGCAGAAGAAGCCCCGGCUAACUCCGUGCCAGCAGCCGCGGUAAUACGGAGGGGGCUAGCGUUGUUCGGAAUCACUGGGCGUAAAGCGCGCGUAGGUGGUCUUAUAAGUUGGAAGUGAAAUCCCAGGGCUUAACCCUGGAAUUGCUUUCAAAACUGUAGGACUCGAGAGUGGUAGAGGGAAGUGGAAUUCUUAGUGUAGCGGUGAAAUGCGUAGAUAUUAAGAGGAACACCGGAGGCGAAGGCGGCUUCCUGGGCCAUUUCUGACACUGAGGCGCGAAAGCGUGGGGAGCAAACAGGAUUAGAUACCCUGGUAGUCCACGCUGUAAACGAUGGGUGCUAGA
rnacentral:rRNA from 1 species